UCUCCGUUGGUGAACCAGCGGAGGGAUCAUUACUGGAAUCGCAAGAUCCCACAACCCUGUGAACCUACCGAAACGUUGCCUCGGCGGGUGCCCGGCCCCCGCGCCGGGCGCUGCGCCCGCAGGCGGCCACCUACUCUGUCUCUGCAGCGUGGCAUCUCAGAGUCCCAGAAAACAAGUCAAAACUUUCAACAACGGAUCUCUUGGCUCUA
rnacentral:misc_RNA from 1 species